rnacentral:rRNA from 1 species
UACGGAGGGGGCUAGCGUUGUUCGGAAUUACUGGGCGUAAAGCGCACGUAGGCGGACUGGAAAGUCAGGGGUGAAAUCCCGGGGCUCAACCCCGGAACUGCCUUUGAAACUCCCAGUCUUGAGGUCGAGAGAGGUGAGUGGAAUUCCGAGUGUAGAGGUGAAAUUCGUAGAUAUUCGGAGGAACACCAGUGGCGAAGACGUCUCACUGGCUAGAUACUGACGCUGAGGUGCGAAAGCGUGGGGAGAAAACAGG